GUGCGUCUUCAGGGCGGGGUGAAAUUCCCCACCGGCGGUAUGCAGGCAGCGCAAUCGCGCUUGCCGGCGAGCCCGCGAGCGCCCGCGUUGUGAAUGUCUUCAGAGGAUCGGAGGCGCAGCGGGGUCAGCAGAUCUGGUGCGAUGCCAGAGCCGACGGUCAUAGUCCGGAUGGAAGAAGAUGUGC
rnacentral:ncRNA from 2 species